CCCCGGCAGGGUCAUGCUGCAAAAUAUGGCUGCUUCCAAGAGAGGAGCGGGGCAGGCAGGCAACCACAGCUGAAUUCCCCACGGACCUCGAGUGGUUUAUAAUUGCCUCUUGUCUGCAAAUAGGUAAAGAAUUUCUAGAAGAUAUUAAAAGAAAAAAUAAAGAAUGUCACAUGCAUCUAGACUCCCUGACAUAGCUUCUGAUGUGUGCAGGGCUGUCGAAUUCUGUCACUUCAGUGAGAGGAAGACCUGAGAAGACGCAGCAUCUCAAGGUCAGAGAUAUGCAGCUUUAUAAACAUAGGCAUGACAACCCUCCCACAAAGUUAUGAGCUGGAGUAAUAACAUCUCAUCCUCAGAGACACGGACAAAAGAGUGAUCUUGCCCUUGAAUGAUGCUAUUUCAAGUGAUUUCUCAAGCUUCAGCUCUGUUUGUAAAAAGCUUUAGAUAUUUCCUUAUAAAGAUCUACCUCUUCAAGAUCAGAUGCACUCCAGCUACUACAGACACUUUAAAAAACAAUAGGAAAGGUUCCCAGUGUUCUCCUACCCGACAUCUUGCUGGUCCCACUCAAAGUCACAGAACCCUUCCCCAUUCUUCAAAGAUGACACAGCACUAAAUCAACCCAUUUACACAAACCUGUUCUCCUGGACCAUUCAAGGACUGCACUCCUCUCAGCCUGGGUACUAUCUGCAGCAUUUGAUUUUCUUUCUUUACUUAAAAAAUUGUAAGAAACUACAGACUACCAGAGAGUUUUCUUUGAAAGGCAAGUUACUAAACAUAAAUGCUGUAACCCUGGAACUCCUAAAACCCUCCUCCUUUCUUUACACUCAUUCUCCCAUAUAUAAAAGCACGUAAGAAGCUGCCGGUCAGCUCUGUUUCAAGGUUAUUUGGAAGGUCUUCACUUUCCCUAGUGUCAGCAAUGAGCCAUGAAUCGCAGCUUUGAGUAAAGGAAGGGCUGCUUGUUAGCUAAAGCAUUACAGAAUACCCCUUUCAGGUUCCCCGAAAACACUGCCACAAGGUCUAAUACCAAAUCCCAGUGAUAAGCAGUAGUUGAACUUAAACAACGUGGAUGUCAAAAUCUGUUGGAUCUGUACAAAGGCAAAAACACUCUACUUUGAGAGACACUGGAACAGUAAUACCAGGGGAAAUCAGUGUGUAAACUGUCUGACCUCUUUUUUCUUUUUCCCGAUUCCUCCCUUACUCCCUCUCUCCCUUUCAUCCCCAAAGGAAGUUAAAGAUGUUUUCAUAAUGUGGAUGAUAGAGACGGCUGAUCUGCAUAAUGAAGCUGAAAACAGCCUGCGUGUUUUGAAGCUCCUCCUCUGCAUGUUACAUGCCAGCAGAGAUUUGCUGCGAAACAGGAGAACUGCAAUGCAGCAUUUUCCUCUGGAACUUUGCAGCUGUAUUACAGUUCCAAGCACACCACGGAAGACUUUUGUUUACAGCAUUUAAAUUCAAUUUGAAUGGUAGCUGUUGAAAUUAGGCAGAUGAAUCACUGCACAUCCACUACCACUUUAGUGCUCAUCCACCCUUAGGCUGUUAUGUUUAACUGAAUUACUUCAUGUUCUCUUACAAUUAAUUUUACUAUUGUUUUAUGGUAGUGCCUGCCUCUAAUAAUUAGUGGUUCUUAAUACUUGCUGGAAAUAAGAUGGCUGAGUGAAAAAGAAGAGUCAUAAAGGAGCUUAAAAUAUGGAGGAACAAAAUCACUAAGUAGAGAUGAUAAGGGCAGUAAGCUCAGAAGGGGAGAAACUUCAAGAAAAGCUUCAUGUUGAAACCAUCUCUUAUUUUCUUCAAGAACAGCAGUGUUAUUUCCUAAUAACACUCACAAUUUUUCUGCUUCCCAAACUGUACAGUGUCAUUAGAAGUUCAGUCAGGAUGACAGUAUCUUUCUUCCAGAAGUCAAACCUGGCAAACAUUUGGUAACUCCAAUCCCAGGCAGUGAAGUAACUGCCUUUUCUCCUUUAAGUUUGUAUUGCUUUAACACCAUCCAAGCUCAGGAAGACAGAAUGUUAUGAGGUCAUUUCCAAUAUAUUAUCCUGCAUCCCAAGCCCCAAAGCACUGCUCCUAUUUACUCAUUAAUCUGAACUCCAAAUAACAAGGAAAAAGUUAAUGUCCAGCUUCUCACCUUUUGGCACACCCACAGAAGUACUAGUUUAAUGCACCAACAUUUCCAUUACAAGUUCAAAACAUACUGCAGUUGCAAGUGAGAAGAAUAACAGUGCUCUUAGAUUAGUUCCCCGUGGAAAUAGUCACCAAACCAGUCAGCAUAAUUAUCAUACUCCGGUGAAGAAGAAUCCUGGAUAAAAAAUAUACCAGUGACAAGGAUGGAAUUCAGCUGAUGAAAAAUUCUGACAUGGCUCUGGGGGGAAACUAUCCCAAAACUCUCACACUUUUGACAUGAUAUGAAGAUAAUUCAUAUAGAAGAAUUAUAUUUGCACAAAGUUAGUAAAAAGAAAUCUCAAACUGGAUUUCUGCUCUCUUCUAAAAAAAACCACAAACAUCCUACGUGCUGGAUUUAACCACUGAUUUCAAUAAAGCCGGGGCUUUGCUCCCAUUGACUGUGAUGCAGCCAUCUCUCCCUAAGUCUCAAAAAUACUUAGCUUCCCUCAUAUAUGCAGGCAAAUAGAACAAAAGAACAGAAACUACAUAUCCAUCUCUCCUAUAACAUCUUAUAUUAAUUGUAACUUACAGAAUGAUGGAUGCAAGUAUGGUUUGCACCAAGCUUUCUCAGUAUAUUUGCAGCUAUACUACAUAGCAUCAAAGAAAUUGCACACAGUUAUGACUAUUACAAAUGAUAGGAGCAUCUCUCCUUUUCAUAUUUUUCCUGCCACUUCCUUAGAGAAGGUAGUUUUAUGAUGGGCCUCUAUAUGAAUGAUUAUCCUCUGAUUUUCUGCGUCUUCUGUUUGGAUUGACUGAAGACCAAUCAGGUGUUGAUAAGUACACACCGUGAAUCUUAAACUCUGUCACGCCAGAAAUGGGGACAGAUUUCUUUCUUAGCCAUGUACAUACAGCCCAAAAUAGAAGACCACUUUCCCUUGAAGUACCUACACAUUACUGUGUUGCAAAUAUUAAACAGCAGAGUUAUUUAUUGCCCAGUGAAGUCCUCUCACUCCUGAACAUGACAAACUCUAUUGCUUUGCCUGAACUGACCUCUGAUGGAACAAUAUUAGUUGCUCCAUUUUCUAUAAAGUCUGUAGAGAUGUCCAGAACAUGAGAUAUUCCUAGGUAUUUUAUUCUUUUGCUGAGUAGAGUGCUGAACCGCAUAAUCCCUGAGUUGCUGACUGCUGAGCAGGUUUAGCAGUGGAAGGAUUGCUCUUUAUGUUCCCAUAUGCUUCCCUCAGCACCUGCCCUCACCCACUUUUAGAGACAGAAUAUUACACUAAAAGGACCCAUAGCCCAACCUCCAUCUUGUGAUUACAAUCACAGUUUAAAUUCACAGUACAGUUUUCAUACUAGAAUUUGCUGUUAAUUUAUAUUGAUCCGUGAUGGGAAGAGGAAAUAUUGCCAACCUCUCUCUACCCCAACAGACUCUUCUACCCUCUGGCCCCACACUUACACCACCAGCACUGGGGCAAGGCCGGCUGAUGGGGACAUGAGUGAAUCCUGCUCCUGGCAGCAGUCCUUUGUAAAGCACAACUCCUUCUUUUCUGUAGCAGAACCCUAGAGCUUCUCACUGUGCCAUGGAGAUUAUGUUCUUCUCUCUCUGCAGUAAGAGAGCACACGAGUCCUAGAAAUUUCCUUCAGACCCACAGACCGCAUUGCAGUUUGGGUUAGAGAAGGCACCAAGGACUAAACAUAAGGAAAAGCACUCUGGGCUCGGGGGUAGCCAGUUAGACCUGGCGGAAUUAAUAUAAUCAGUGCUCAAACGCCAAGCAACUUUGAUUCUCACAAAACUGCUCACUAAUCGAAACUAUUCAACAAAUGUUUUCUGCAACCGUAAUUCAGCCAAUUGAUUGUUUAUAAUCUUUGCCUGUGACUGCUGCUUUCACUUCAGGGAGAAUCCUCUUUACCCACAUCCAUCUGCAUCUGAGUGUCAGCCUUGCAAACAAGGGUGUAUUGCUUAUCAGAAUGUCCACAGGAAAAUGAAAGAGGAACAAAUCCAUACUUCUCAAUUAAUUACCCAAAAAAGCUUAACCUAGAAAUCACCUGUGACCAAACAACUCUUUAAACCCAGCCUUGAAUUUUGGCAACUACAGAGAUCUGCAGGCUGUAGUAGCUGGGAAACAUUACCACCUUCAGAUAAACAUAACGCCAGUGAUGCAUUAUCAUCAGUGGAAAAUGAAAAUUCAUAUACAAAAAAAAAAUCCUCACGUUUCACUGCUUUGGAACUAUUUAAUAUACUCUGUUUUAUCAGCAGCGUAGCUGCCUGGAUACAAGACUCAACAGAUGCAUUAGUGAGCUCUGACCAUGCUGGAAACUGCGGUCACAAGCUGCAGGUCUGAGCUUUUAUUACAGAGGCCUUCCAUAGUGGGCUCUACUCGUAGAGAAGAACCUCAGU